rnacentral:rRNA from 1 species
UACGGCGAGUGAAGCGGGAAGAGCUCAAAUUUGAAAUCUGGUAGCCUUCGGUUGCCCGAGUUGUAAUCUAGAGAAGUGUUUUCCGCGUUGGCCCAUGUACAAGUCCCUUGGAACAGGGCGUCAUAGAGGGUGAGAAUCCCGUCCUUGACAUGGACCCCCAAUGCUUUGUGAUACACUUUCAACGAGUCGAGUUGUUUGGGAAUGCAGCUCAAAAUGGGUGGUGAAUUCCAUCUAAAGCUAAAUAUUGGCGAGAGACCGAUAGCGAACAAGUACCGUGAGGGAAAGAUGAAAAGCACUUUGGAAAGAGAGUUAAACAGUACGUGAAAUUGUUGAAAGGGAAACGAUUGAAGUCAGUCAUGCUCUUUGGAUUAAGCCGUUCUGCGGUGUAUUUCAUUGAGCGGGGUCAACAUCAGUUUUGAUCGCUGGAAAAGGGCAGGAGGAAGGUAGCACUCUCGGGUGAACUUAUAGCCUCUUGUCGUAUACAGUGAUUGGGACUGAGGAACGCAGCAUGCCUUUUGGCCGGGAUUCGUCCACGUACAUGCUUAGGAUGUUGACAUAAUGGCUUUAAACGACCCGUCUUGAAACACGGACC